GACGAACGCUGGCGGCGUGCUUAACACAUGCAAGUCGAACGGAAAGGCCCUGCUUUUGUGGGGUGCUCGAGUGGCGAACGGGUGAGUAACACGUGAGUAACCUGCCCUUGACUUUGGGAUAACUUCAGGAAACUGGGGCUAAUACCGGAUAGGAGCUCCUGCUGCAUGGUGGGGGUUGGAAAGUUUCGGCGGUUGGGGAUGGACUCGCGGCUUAUCAGCUUGUUGGUGGGGUAGUGGCUUACCAAGGCUUUGACGGGUAGCCGGCCUGAGAGGGUGACCGGCCACAUUGGGACUGGGAUACGGCCCAGACUCCUACGGGAGGCAGCAGUGGGGAAUAUUGCACAAUGGGCGGAAGCCUGAUGAAGCAACGCGGCGUGCGGGAUGACGGCCUUCGGGUUGUAAACCGCUUUCGCCUGUGACGAAGCGUGAGUGACGGUAAUGGGUAAAGAAGCACCGGCUAACUACGU
rnacentral:rRNA from 1 species